UAGUAUCACUAUUGAAAUUAGUAAAACGUGUUGUUGUUGAGAUUAAAGCCUAUAACUUGAUUUUCCUUUCAGAGUGAAUUAGGCAAGUCGUGGGGCAAGUUCCAGCUGCUAGUAAUAAAACCAACGAAGAUAGAGAGCAUGAUUUUCUCUAACAUAAAUUUUAAAAUGCUUCCUGAUUCUGUAACUUCUUCUGAACCUGCCUUGUCUUUCGAUGAAUUUGACCAGCUUUUCCCAUAGCCUCCCUUUGCUUCAGGUUCAUCCUGAUGAGACUCAGUUUAUUCCUGCAGUCUUCCUCUGGCAUGCAAGUAGUUUCCAUUGCUUGAUUAUUAGCCUUCAUCAAGCAGUGAAUUUAACCCACUGAUGCUGAAUUUUUUGUAGGUGUUCCUGGCAGUUACCAGUGUUCUAUGGAUGCUAAUUUGAUGGAUCAUCAGCCCUAUUUAUCUUUCCAAAAAUUAUUUUAACUUAUUUUUCAGAAUGUCAAGACUUGUGAAGAUAAUCAACUUAUUGAAAUUAGUUUUCACUCAUUCCAACCAUCCAGGCUCCAGUGCUGAAAGAAAUAUAUUGUGUAUGCCAUCUUUCAACAGCUGGGAUCAGCAGAAACUUCUUCUCCCGAUGUUGUUAACUUCAUGGGCUCCCAGGUAGGCCAAACUUUUGGGGAAACAAUCCAACAAAUCAUGCCAAAGAUAGGCACCUACAGGUUGUGGUCCACUUACAAUCUGAAGGGCAACAGGCAUAAGGAAAACAAAAGGAGGCAUUCAUGAAUCUUUUACUCUUCAAAUGCAUUAAAAAAGCUUGCCUUGAGACCCACCAAAAGCUAAAGGAAAACACUAUUGAAGACAAGGUGACAUAAUUUCUGAAACUUGCUCCCAAUAAGCCAUGAGGAAUGAGACACAAGAAAUCUACUUCAGCAAAUGGUGGCCAGACAUUAGAAAAUGAUUAAAUGGAAAAAGAAGAGCUGACUGAUAACUAGAAAAACCUCUAAGUGGAAAAGUGUCAUCAAUAAUAAUUGCAAUCAAAUUGUAUAAAAGUUUUUAUCAGAGAAUAAAUGUUGAAUAAAUU